GUGGGCGUAGCUCAAUGGUAGAGCACCGGGUUGUGGUCCCGGGGGUUGUGGGUUCGAGCCCCAUCGCCCACCCCA
rnacentral:tRNA from 1 species